GUCAUACAAUCUGCAGAGGUUCUCAAAACUGUUGAAUAAAUCUUCAGUAUAUAAAUCUUUGAUGCAUUUCAACCCGGAAACUACGAUGAGUCCAGUGUAGAGGGAGGGAAUAAAUGAUUUUUGUAAAUAGGACCCAAAACCGAUGCUGAUGUAAAUUUAUAGUGACUGAUUAAAGAUCUUGAAAGUAGAAAGUACAACAGGAUUGGAUGUGAAUCAAGAAGCUUUCAAAGGCAAGGAAGAAUACACUAAAGCAGGGAGAGAAGAAGAAUGACAUGUCUGUGCUUCAAUUAAACACCAAUUUGUUUCUGGGCAAUGUAGCCAAUAUAGUGAUUUUGUAUUAUAUUUACUUUAUCAAGUAGUGAUGCUGAGGCUGUUCCAUCAAUCAUACUUCCAUAAUCUACUUCUUGUUAACCUCAGCUUCGCCAGCAGGGGGCACCCAAGCGUCAUACUACGCAUCAGUAGCUGACUAAUAGAAUAGAAAUAGUAUUCAGUACGUGACUAGUGUCGUGCACACGCAACGGAAAGCGCUCUGUUGAACCUGUCUUUUUCAUGUGUUUUAACAGGUUUUCAGUCAGUCCUGUUACCCUCACACAUUUCCCCCUCUGAAAAACUUGGAACAUUCCACAAGACACAUUUUCAACAGGAAAUUGCAUCAUCUGGAUCUUAUGCAGGCCAUGAGAAGACCAAAAAAGAUGGAGAGAACCUAUACUUUGCAGCUGCAAGAAACACACACCCAUGGCAUGCUGCAAGGGAAGGAAUGAAACACCAGCAACUCUAUCUUUUCCCCCAUUUUUGUCUUUCCUUCCCUCCCUCUCCCCCCCUCUCUUUUCCUUGCUCUCUUUCUUUCUCUUUCCACCUCCUUUACUGUAAUGUUCUACUAGCACACAGAACAUCCCUUCAACACAGAAAUCUCACUCACACACAUGCACACACAGCCAUGGACACACUCUUUUUCUCACACACAUACACACACAUAUGGACACUCAGUCCUGUUACCCAGUGUUCAUUCCUGAUACAAAGUGCUCAGUCCUGUUACUAAAUUUAUUUUUCUAGAAAAAUAGAAUUAAACCACUGUUUUUUUCA